rnacentral:rRNA from 1 species
UACGUAGGUGGCAAGCGUUGUCCGGAUUUAUUGGGCGUAAAGAGCGUGUAGGCGGCUAUGCAGGUCCGCUGUGAAAACUCGAGGCUCAACCUCGAGACGUCGGUGGAAACCGCAUGGCUAGAGUCCGGAAGAGGAGAGUGGAAUUCCCGGUGUAGCGGUGAAAUGCGCAGAUAUCGGGAAGAACACCCGUGGCGAAGGCGGCUCUCUGGGACGGUACUGACGCUGAGACGCGAAAGCGUGGGGAGCGAACAGG